CUCCCUACAGCAACAAUGCUUCUCCUAGCUGUUCUGUUAACGUUAUUCUUAUAUAUAGAAAGUAACUCUCAGGUGGAUCAGCAGAAAGAACUGACUGUUCACGAAGGAGAGGUGGCAGAAAUUCAUUGUAAUCACAGCAUAACAACAUAUGACAGAAUGUUCUGGUACAAACAGAAAUUCAGUACAGGACCUGAGCAUAUCAUAUCAGGCUAUAUGUCUGCUGAAGAUAUAGGUCCCUUUAGAAUGACUUUCAAGAAGGAAAAGCUCUCCACCAGCCUCAUAAUCACAGAUGUGCAGAUUUCUCAUGCUGGGACAUAUUACUGCGCUGUGAGUGACACAGUGAUAAAAGGCACCAAGACACAUGUCACAAAACAUUCAACCCUACAUUUAUAUCACAACACAGUUCUGAAUUGGAGCAGGUGUCACUUCUACUCUGAAGUUUUAGAGAAAAUAUACCAAUGCAUUUAG